rnacentral:rRNA from 1 species
GGGCCUCUUGCCAUCAGAUGUGCCCAGAUGGGAUUAGCUUGUUGGUGAGGUAACGGCUCACCAAGGCGACGAUCCCUAGCUGGUCUGAGAGGAUGACCAGCCACACUGGAACUGAGACACGGUCCAGACUCCUACGGGAGGCAGCAGUGGGGAAUAUUGCACAAUGGGCGCAAGCCUGAUGCAGCCAUGCCGCGUGUAUGAAGAAGGCCUUCGGGUUGUAAAGUACUUUCAGCGGGGAGGAAGGUGUUGUGGUUAAUAACCGCAGCAAUUGACGUUACCCGCAGAAGAAGCACCGGCUAACUCCGUGCCAGCAGCCGCGGUAAUACGGAGGGUGCAAGCGUUAAUCGGAAUUACUGGGCGUAAAGCGCACGCAGGCGGUCUGUCAAGUCGGAUGUGAAAUCCCCGGGCUCAACCUGGGAACUGCAUUCGAAACUGGCAGGCUUGAGUCUUGUAGAGGGGGGUAGAAUUCCAGGUGUAGCGGUGAAAUGCGUAGAGAUCUGGAGGAAUACCG